rnacentral:snoRNA from 1 species
UAGCACGAGGAUGCAAGAGGAAAAAAUCCUUGUGCUUUUCUGUCUGUUUUCGUUUUUGUGGUGGCCCAGAUUGAAUAAGGGAAUACAUUU